GACUCACGCGGGAAUCUUACCGGGUCCGGACACACUGAGGAUUGACAGAUAUACGCUCAUUGCAGUUCGCUGCAUUGGGCUGAAAGAUGCUAGUUCUUUCAUGAUUAUGUGAUAGGUGGUGCAUGGCCGUUCUUAGUUCGUGGAGUGAUCUGUCUGCUUAAUUGCGUAUCAAUAAUAGAGACCUAGUAUACGCGUGGAUUUCGUGUGGUAGUGACCCCCCGUUCGCGCAGGCGUGUGUCGCGCACGCGUGCCGCGCACUGGUCUCAGAUAGCAACGAACGUGACCGUAUUCUAUUGUUGCAGUGAAAUGUACUUUCGAGUACGACCCACUGCUUAGUAUAUGCACGUGCUUCGGUGCGAGCAAUAUACAUUAAACUAUAGAGACCGCUGUUUCUUCUUUAAACCAGAGGAAGGAUACGGCAAUAACAGGUCUGUGAUGCCCUCAGAUGUUCCGGGCUGCACACGUGCUACAAUGAUCAUUGCACUGUGCAUCUAACCCAAUGUGCGUGGACGCCGCAUGCAUGUACUCCUUGUGGGUACACGCAUUGCUGAGCGACCACGCCGAACCUACUUCGAAAGUAAAAUUUCUCUGUGGGUAAUCCAUUAGAAGUAAUGACUCGCAUAGACCAUGGCACACCAAAUGUACGCGCAGGCCUACCCGGCUCGCCUUUGUGUGAGUGCAGUGCGUAGCUUGUUGUUUCGUACGUGCCACUCCGUAUUAAUUCGUACGUGGGGAUAGAUCAUUGUUUAAUUGUUGGUCUCGGUCUUAACUAGGAAUGCCUUGUACGGGUCUCUGGUUCAACAUACCA
rnacentral:rRNA from 2 species